rnacentral:lncRNA from 1 species
GCCCACAAAACUGGCCCGAAUUGUUAAAAACAAAGGGUUUUUGCGACGUCUCGAUAGCCGUGCACACGUUCACGGAGCAUAAAACAUAAAUCCGGGACCCAAAACAGUGCGCUAUAGCCCACGAAACUGGCCCGAAACGACAAAAACAACGAGUUUUUGCAUCGUCUCGGUAGCCGUGCAUACGGUUCAUGGAGCAUCAAAAAUGGACCCAGGACCCCAAACAGUGCGUUAUAGCCCACGAAACUGGCCCCAAUCGACAAAAACAACGAGUUUUUGCGACGUCUCGAUAGCCGUGCACAGGGUUCAUGGAGCAUCAAAAAUCGACCCGGGACCCCAAAACAGUGC